CGGGACGGGGUGGAGUAACGCGUGGGUAACCUAGCCUGUACUGGGGACGGAACGAAGUUAGAAAUGACUGCUAAUACCGCAUAAGCGCACAGUAUCGCAUGAUACAGUGUGAAAACUCCGGUGGUACAAGAUGGACCCGCGUCUGAUUAGCUAGUUGGUAAGGUAACGGCUUACCAAGGCGACGAUCAGUAGCCGACCUGAGAGGGUGACCGGCCACAUUGGGACUGAGACACGGCCCAA
rnacentral:rRNA from 1 species